rnacentral:rRNA from 1 species
CGGCCGCGUCGACGUAACGGCUCACCUAGGCGACGAUACAUAGCCGACCUGAGAGGGUGAUCGGCCACACUGGGACUGAGACACGGCCCAGACUCCUACGGGAGGCAGCAGUAGGGAAUCUUCGGCAAUGGGGGCAACCCUGACCGAGCAACGCCGCGUGAGUGAAGAAGGUUUUCGGAUCGUAAAGCUCUGUUGUAAGUCAAGAACGAGUGUGAGAGUGGAAAGUUCACACUGUGACGGUAGCUUACCAGAAAGGGACGGCUAACUACGUGCCAGCAGCCGCGGUAAUACGUAGGUCCCGAGCGUUGUCCGGAUUUAUUGGGCGUAAAGCGAGCGCAGGCGGUUUGAUAAGUCUGAAGUUAAAGGCUGUGGCUCAACCAUAGUUCGCUUUGGAAACUGUCAAACUUGAGUGCAGAAGGGGAGAGUGGAAUUCCAUGUGUAGCGGUGAAAUGCGUAGAUAUAUGGAGGAACACCGGUGGCGAAAGCGGCUCUCUGGUCUGUAACUGACGCUGAGGCUCGAAAGCGUGGGGAGCGAAACG